GGGGCUGUAGCUCAACUGGUCAGAGCGCCGGCCUGUCACGCCGGAGGUUGCGGGUUCGAGUCCCGUCAGCCUCG
rnacentral:tRNA from 1 species